rnacentral:rRNA from 1 species
GUGCCAGCAGCCGCGGUAAUACGAAGGGGGCUAGCGUUGCUCGGAAUUACUGGGCGUAAAGGGCGCGUAGGCGGACAGUUUAGUCAGAGGUGAAAGCCCAGGGCUCAACCUUGGAAUUGCCUUUGAUACUGACUGUCUUGAGUACGGGAGAGGUGUGUGGAACUCCGAGUGUAGAGGUGAAAUUCGUAGAUAUUCGGAAGAACACCAGUGGCGAAGGCGACACACUGGCCCGUUACUGACGCUGAGGCGCGAAAGCGUGGGGAGCAAACAGGAUUAGAAACCCGCGUAGUCC